CCAGCCAGGCGUCCCAGCAACACGCCUAUACAAUAGCUUGAUGCCACGUCAUCACUUCCGACUACCAGGGCGGUACACAAGCCCCCCAGUCUUAAGCGAAGACUUGUCCAGCGAAAAGACUAAAGGAGUCACGUCAAUACCGAUCUACGUGGCGCUGGCGCAGAAUUCCAAGCGGUUGUACUUUCUGCUUUCCUGACGCUCCACCAAACACUCCUCCAAUCGCUCGACACGUGGCUUUAUCAACGGUUACCUUUAAUUGUCGUUUGCGCUUCUCAAACCCAUUCGAAAAACCCUUAAACCCAUUUCGCUUCUACUGUUCCAUCACUUCUUCGUUUUUUCAAACGCUCCAAGUUUCUUCUGCAAAAGCUCUCGACUCUCUUCAACCUCCUGAAUCCCCAACCUCCUGAAUCCCCAACCUCCUUCAUCGUUCUUCCGAUCAUAAAAAGGUACUUCCUUUACUUCUUCUGCUGAUUUUUCCUGCAUUUUAACCGAUUCGCAUCAUCCAUUAACUGUCUGGUGCAUACGCUAUGGGCUGUUUCUUCUAUUUCUCCUUUCUCGUAACUUAGGGCUUCGUCUUCGUUACAACGAACCUUCAUUCGUUCGUUUUUCACCCUUCUUUCACGAUCGAGUCAGCCUCUGCGAACCCUAAUCACCUUUUCUUCUCUUUUCCUUUGCAGUUUCCGCGAUGGCUCGCUCAAAGAUCACCCCAAAUCCUCCUCCCUCGUCACGAAACCCUUCAUCUCAUGCUCCCAACCCAUCGCGAGCACUUGGUGCUUCUUCCUCCCAGGCUGAGAGGCCUGCAACUUCCCGCCCUAACCUGGCUCAGGCUACUCCACCCGUCGCUAGAGGAGCCUCCGUUCCUUCCCCAGACUUCAAAAGAUUAUACCCAUGGGCCACCCCG
rnacentral:lncRNA from 1 species